UGGCUCAGAUUGAACGCUGGCGGCAGGCCUAACACAUGCAAGUCGAACGGUAACAGGAAGAAGCUUGCUUCUUUGCUGACGAGUGGCGGACGGGUGAGUAAUGUCUGGGAAACUGCCUGAUGGAGGGGGAUAACUACUGGAAACGGUAGCUAAUACCGCAUAACGUCGCAAGACCAAAGAGGGGGACCUUCGGGCCUCUUGCCAUCGGAUGUGCCCAGAUGGGAUUAGCUAGUAGGUGGGGUAACGGCUCACCUAGGCGACGAUCCCUAGCUGGUCUGAGAGGAUGACCAGCCACACUGGAACUGAGACACGGUCCAGACUCCUACGGGAGGCAGCAGUGGGGAAUAUUGCACAAUGGGCGCAAGCCUGAUGCAGCCAUGCCGCGUGUAUGAAGAAGGCCUUCGGGUUGUAAAGUACUUUCAGCGGGGAGGAAGGGAGUAAAGUUAAUACCUUUGCUCAUUGACGUUACCCGCAGAAGAAGCACCGGCUAACUCCGUGCCAGCAGCCGCGGUAAUACGGAGGGUGCAAGCGUUAACCGGAAUUACUGGGCGUAAAGCGCACGCAGGCGGUUUGUUAAGUCAGAUGUGAAAUCCCCGGGCUCAACCUGGGAACUGCAUCUGAUACUGGCAAGCUUGAGUCUCGUAGAGGGGGGUAGAAUUCCAGGUGUAGCGGUGAAAUGCGUAGAGAUCUGGAGGAAUACCGGUGGCGAAGGCGGCCCCCUGGACGAAGACUGACGCUCAGGUGCGAAAGUGUGGGGAGCAAACAGGAUUAGAUACCCUGGUAGUCCACGCCGUAAACGAUGUCGACUUGGAGGUUGUGCCCUUGAGGCGUGGCUUCCGGAGCUAACGCGUUAAGUCGACCGCCUGGGGAGUACGGCCGCAAAGGUUAAACUCAAAUGAAUUGACGGGGGCCCGCACAAGCGGUGGAGCAUGUGGUUUAAUUCGAUGCAACGCGAAGAACCUUACCUGGUCUUGACAUCCACGGAAGUUUUCAGAGAUGAGAAUGUGCCUUCGGGAACCGUGAGACAGGUGCUGCAUGGCUGUCGUCAGCUCGUGUUGUGAAAUGUUGGGUUAAGUCCCGCAACGAGCGCAACCCUCAUCCUUUGUUGCCAGCGGUCCGGCCGGGAACUCAAAGGAGACUGCCAGUGAUAAACUGGAGGAAGGUGGGGAUGACGUCAAGUCAUCAUGGCCCUUACGACCAGGGCUACACACGUGCUACAAUGGCGCAUACAAAGAGAAGCGACCUCGCGAGAGCAAGCGGACCUCAUAAAGUGCGUCGUAGUCCGGAUUGGAGUCUGCAACUCGACUCCAUGAAGUCGGAAUCGCUAGUAAUCGUGGAUCAGAAUGCCACGGUGAAUACGUUCCCGGGCCUUGUACACACCGCCCGUCACACCAUGGGAGUGGGUUGCAAAAGAAGUAGGUAGCUUAACCUUCGGGAGGGCGCUUACCACUUUGUGAUUCAUGACUGGGGUGAAGUCGUA
rnacentral:rRNA from 1 species